AUUGAACGCUGGCGGCAUGCUUUACACAUGCAAGUCGAACGGCAGCGCGGGCUUCGGCCUGGCGGCGAGUGGCGAACGGGUGAGUAAUACAUCGGAACGUGCCCAGCAGGGGGGGAGAGCUCGGCGAAAGCCGGAGUAAUACCGCAUACGAUCUGAGGGGGAGAGCGGGGGAACUUAGGACCUCGCGCUAUUGGAACGGCCGAUGGCAGAUUAGCUAGUUGGUGGGGUAAAGGCCUACCAAGGCGACGAUCUGUAGCUGGUCUGAGAGGACGACCAGCCACACUGGGACUGAGACACGGCCCAGACUCCUACGGGAGGCAGCAGUGGGGAAUUUUGGACAAUGGGCGAAAGCCUGAUCCAGCAAUGCCGCGUGUGUGAUGAAGGCCUUCGGGUUGUAAAGCACUUUUGGCGGGAACGAAAAGGACUGUGCCAAUACCACGGUUCGAUGACGGUACCCGCAGAAUAAGCACCGGCUAACUACGUG
rnacentral:rRNA from 1 species